rnacentral:rRNA from 1 species
AGAGUUCGAUCCUGGCUCAGGAUGAACGCUGGCGGCGCGCCUAACACAUGCAAGUCGAACGGCACCUAUCUUCGGAUAGAAGCGAGUGGCGAACGGCUGAGUAACACGUGGAGAACCUGCCCCCUCCCCCGGGAUAGCCGCCCGAAAGGACGGGUAAUACCGGAUACCCCGGGGUGCCGCAUGGCACCCCGGCUAAAGCCCCGACGGGAGGGGAUGGCUCCGCGGCCCAUCAGGUAGACGGCGGGGUGACGGCCCACCGUGCCGACAACGGGUAGCCGGGUUGAGAGACCGACCGGCCAGAUUGGGACUGAGACACGGCCCAGACUCCUACGGGAGGCAGCAGUGGGGAAUCUUGCGCAAUGGGGGGAACCCUGACGCAGCGACGCCGCGUGCGGGACGGAGGCCUUCGGGUCGUAAACCGCUUUCAGCAGGGAAGAGUCAAGACUGUACCUGCAGAAGAAGCCCCGGCUAACUACGUGCCAGCAGCCGCGGUAAUACGUAGGGGGCGAGCGUUAUCCGGAUUCAUUGGGCGUAAAGCGCGCGUAGGCGGCCCGGCAGGCCGGGGGUCGAAGCGGGGGGCUCAACCCCCCGAAGCCCCCGGAACCUCCGCGGCUUGGGUCCGGUAGGGGAGGGUGGAACACCCGGUGUAGCGGUGGAAUGCGCAGAUAUCGGGUGGAACACCGGUGGCGAAGGCGGCCCUCUGGGCCGAGACCGACGCUGAGGCGCGAAAGCUGGGGGAGCGAACAGGAUUAGAUACCCUGGUAGUCCCAGCCGUAAACGAUGGACGCUAGGUGUGGGGGGACGAUCCCCCCGUGCCGCAGCCAACGCAUUAAGCGUCCCGCCUGGGGAGUACGGCCGCAAGGCUAAAACUCAAAGGAAUUGACGGGGGCCCGCACAAGCAGCGGAGCAUGUGGCUUAAUUCGAAGCAACGCGAAGAACCUUACCAGGGCUUGACAUAUGGGUGAAGCGGGGGAGACCCCGUGGCCGAGAGGAGCCCAUACAGGUGGUGCAUGGCUGUCGUCAGCUCGUGUCGGGACCGCCGCCGUCAAGGCGGAGGAGGGCGGGGACGACGUCAAGUCAUCAUGCCCCUUAUGCCCUGGGCUGCACACGUGCUACAAUGGCCGGUACAGAGGGAUGCCACCCCGCGAGGGGGAGCGGAUCCCGGAAAGCCGGCCCCAGUUCGGAUUGGGGGCUGCAACCCGCCCCCAUGAAGUCGGAGUUGCUAGUAAUCGCGGAUCAGCAUGCCGC